GGGCAGCCUGAUCCAGUGGGACGUGUCCCUGCCCAUCGCAGGGCGUUGGAACUGGGUGAUCCUUAAGAUCCCUUCCAACCCAAACUAUUCCAUGGUUCUAUGUCCUGACCCGUCACAGUGAGACAGGGCUCAGCUCCAUCGCUUCCCUCGGUGCGAGGGGACGUGUGGUCAAUCAGAGACGUUUCCUCACCCUUGGUUGGGAAAUGUCCCCAUGCAAGAGUGAGCAGCGAGUUCACAUCCAGUUUCUUGAGAAACUGAAGAAAUCUACGAUGAAAACUUUGCAGUUAUUGACUGAGGCUGAUGGUGAAGAGAUCCCAAAGAUCCAGUCGGUGCUCAAAGGAACCCAUGGCUUGUUGGUAGGCGAUGUGGAAGCCAAACCGAUGGAGAUCCUCAACAGCCUUCCAGAAACUGAUGUGUGGAAUGGCUUUGGACAUCGUCAGCAUCGUGUGCAGCCGUGGGUCAGCUCAGAAGCUGCUGGGAAGGGGACCCCAGGCGAUUCUCUUAAUUUGUUGCAUAAAGUUACAGGCGCAGUCCCAGGUUUUUGUGUCAGUCUAUGAAGAUCUAAGUCAACCACUGGAAUUCUUUGAAGUGCUUUAAUGCAUGUGAUGAACCCCUCUGUUAAGAUGUCACAAUACUAGUCAUGCCAAAAAGAUUCUGUGUCAUUUAUCAUGUGAAAUUCUACAAAGACAAGUUUCUAAGGUAGUUUAAAAUUACUAAACAAAUCACUAGCACUUAAGCUAAAUGUGCAUGUUGAGGGUGUCUGAGGUUUUGUUUUUUCUUCCACAUGUAAAUGUAGGCCAGAAUCUGAAGUAAGAUUGUAUUUAGAGAUUUGUCAGUAGUGUUAAAAUUGCAUUAAAGCUUAUAAUACGUGGUUUGCCAAGUACCAGGUAGUAAAAUCUGUCUUUGUAUAAAUAUUUGCAUUUUUAUUUUUGGUGUGAUCUGAGUAUACUUCCUUUUCCCACUUUUCCCCCAGAUGUUUCACCAUCACGUCAAUAACCAGUGAAGCAGAGCAGUUGCAUUCUCUACGUAAUUAUCUCAUCCACUGCUCUAAGAUACAGCGAGUGCUGCUCACCCACCCCCUGGCCUCUACACGACUGGUUUUAAAGCUGGUUUAAUCUUCACAGCACGUUUCCAGACAUGGACAAACCAGAGACUAUGCUGCCAUGGGAAAAAGUGCUAUAAUGAAGGAUAUUUGAACCCUGAUAGCUGUAAAUGCGUAUGCUGGACUGGGUAUCACGGGAAUUUCUGUGCUGAGUUGGAGGCUGAAGCGCAUUUCUGAGCAGCCUCACAUGGCUGUUUUCAUCUGCUCUGAUAACAAUGUGAGUACUGAGCAAAGAAAAGAUUUGUUCUCUCCCUAGGAGACAGUUUUAAAGCACAGGCACUGUGUUCAUCCUGUGAUUUUUUCCAAUUCCAAUCUGUUUGAUCUCCUACUUCAAUUCUAAAAUAAGUCUGUAGUAACUCUUGCAGCCAGUGUAUUGGGCUAAGAAUGCAGUGAUGGUUUGUUUCAGUUUCUCCUGCAGAAAAGAAGUAAUAAAGACAACUUCAGGCCUUGCGGAGGCCGUUAUUCCCCAGAAUUUCUAUAUGCGAAGGGGACUCUGAAACACGUUCGUACACCUGAAAUGUGUUUCAGCCUUAUUUUGGUGUUGCUGUGCUGUCUGUAAAUGAUAGAAGAGUCACUUCUGAGUUACUCUAGCCCACAUUCACCACAGAUUUUGUAUGUCAGGGAGAACAGUAAAUCCUUUAAUGACUUCAGCUACCAGAGAAAGCCUAUAACAUAACCACAGCACAAAAGGAUUUAUCAUAAACUAAAUUAAAUCAUCCAAACUCAGCUCAUCAAUAGAUAUGAAGGAACAGGCAGAAGACAGAAAUUAAUUUAGCAGAUCAAGAAACUCACUGUUGUCUUGCAGUGCUGUUCCAGUACGCAGAUAAUAAAAACUAGCAUCACCACAGUUUAAAUCAAUCCAAAUACAGUUAUUAAAUGAUAAUCCUGGAAUAGAAUAAUAGAACAGUCUGGGUUGGAAGGGCCAUCAAAGCCCAUCCAGUUCCACCCCUGCCAUGGGCAGGGACACCUCCCACUGGCUCAGGCUGCCCAAGGCCCAUCCAACCUGGCCUGGAACCCCUCCAGGGAUGGGGCAGCCCCCACUGCUCUGGGUACCCUGGGUCAGGGCCUCCCCACCCUCACAGCAAAACAUUUCUUCCUGAGAUCUCAUCUCAAUCUCCCCCCUUUCAGCUGAAAACCAUUCCCCUUAUCCUGCCUCUGCAGUCCCUGAUCAAGAGCCCCUCUCCAGCUUUCCCGGAGCCCCUUUCAAUACUGGAAGCUGCUCUAAGGUCUUUCCAGAGCCUUCUCUCCUCCAGGUUGAACGACCCCGGCUCUCCCAGGCUGCCCUCGGAUGGGAGGUUCUCCAGCCCUUGGAUCAUUUUUGUGGCCUCCUUUGGACUCGCUCUAACAGAUCCACGUCCUUCCUGUGCUGAGGACUCCAGACUUGGACACAGGGCUCCAGGUGAGGUCUCAUGAGAGUGGACUAGGGGUGUAGAAUCCCCUCCCUCGCCCUGCUGGUCCCGCUGCUUUGGAUGCAGCCCAGGAUACGGUUGGUUUCUGGGCUGCAAGCGCACAUUGCCAGCUCAUGUUGAGCUUCUCAUCCACCAGCACUCCCAAGUCCUUCUCCUCAGGGCUGCUCUCAACUCAUUCUCUACCCAGCCUGGAUUUGUGCUUGAGAUUGCCCUGACCCAGGUGCAAGACCUCGCACCUGGCCUUGUUGAACUUAAUGAGGCUGAAACAGCCUUUUACCGUGGGGUCACAAUUGAAAUUAGUUUGUAGGAGGUUAUUGUACUUGUGAAGCUGCAGAACCUCUGUGCGAGGUAGCGGGGCUGGGGAGAUGCUCAAAGGAUUCUGGGAAGCAGAGCUGGCCGAGUGCUGCAGGCAAGGAGGUGUGUACGUUGGCAGGUGAUGGACGAGAGCCGGGGGAAACUAUUGACAUAAUUGCUGGCACCAGGAGAUUAUUCUUUUAAAACUCAUUCAUGCUGAAAAUAUUUAAAGGCAAAAACAAGGGAGAAAGGAAAUGGUGCUGGUCUUAGCCUGGCUCUUUCUCUUUCAGUUAUACGGAAUGACUUGCUGUCCAGUGGAGCUUAUUGAUAGAGCGCAGCCUUGCGAUUUUGAUAAGGAACCCUGAGAAACUUCCUCAAAUUAUUUCUGUAAGGAUUAGAAAUUAAGACAAUUCUAAUCCUCUUCUGUAACUAUGCUGUGUGCUUCCAAACUCCCAUCUUGAUAGCUAAAUAAAAACAAAACCAAACUUACUUAAUGGAGCAGGUUGUAUAGACCUCCUGUUUUAGGAAGAGAGCUCAGUUAUAAGCAUAAAAAAAAAUAAGUUGCAAUUAAUGCUGCCUUUAUAGCAGUUACAAAGACAGCUGAAGACUUUCAGGAGAGAAGGAUGUUGUUUCAUUUUUCAAGCAAUGACCCUAAUGUAAUUGCUGCUCAUAAUCCGGUCUCCUUGAUACAAAUUCAGGAUUUCCUUGAGCGUAGAGAGCGUCACAGAGGAAUAUCAGAGCUCUGCACCCUCUUCGGGAAAACGCCUGUACGUUGGUGAUCUUAUUAUAGUAUUUCUACAUCAAACAAUUUGGAUUCACUUUCCUGUAAUGGCAAGUUACUUAUGUUUAUUCCCAUCCCAUUUCAUAAUAUGAAUGUGAAUUACAGCAGGGUUUUUUCCAGCUCUUCGUAGAAUACAUGAAUAACAAAUUCCUGAAGAAGAGUGGGGAAAAGGGUUCACUGUGAGGUUUAGCAAUGAUCUAUAAUGGAUCUAGACAGGCGCAGUCGGAGCAGCAAAGCACCCAUGAGAAUUUUCUACCCUUUCAGGGAGUGUGUAGUUGUCACUGAGCGUAAACUUUAUUACAUCCAGGCAGACAGUGGUGUAUGGUUGUGUGGUAUGAGCCCUUGUAAAAAUAGAACUGGUGGUAAACUGUGUGAGAUUGAGACAAAUAAAGCAUGUUACCACACCUAAUGUUUUCUAGAGAACUUCUCUGUAAUGUCAGGUUUCAAAAGAGAACAGUGGUCAUUAAAAUACAUGGGAUUGCAGCCGUGCUUAUCUACACAGCUCUGUAUGCGCUGCCUUUGCAUUGCAACAGAUCUGUAGUGAAAAAGAGAGAAAUGCAUGGAAAGAACUUGUGGAACAGGUAAAAUUAUAGUCUUAGUUUAAAGAAAUCUCCACCAAAUUAAUCCAAAGAGAAAAGUGUUUAUAAAGAAGCAUAAGCUUUUAUGAGUUAAAAAAAUUAGAUACACAGGGAAUUUAUGUGGAAAAGGCAAUAAAAUUAUGUGUACUCAGACUGAGACAGACAUUACUCCCAUGGACGGUAUAAGGUUCGCAGUGAUUUUAGCAUUCUUAGUACUAAUACUGAUGAAAUCCAUAAUAUUUGUCAACAUUGCUGUAUCAUUUUAUGAUGUCUUCAUGUUUUUACUGCACGCUUUCAAAAAUAACUUGCAAUACUCUUUGAUUACCCUCGGUAAAACUUUAUCAGAACUUUAUUUUCGUGGUCUUACAUGAUUGGUUUUUGAUCCAAUUCUGUCAAAAGCAUUAAAAUGAAUGAUCGUGCCUAUAGCUCCAGCAUAUGUAACGUGUAAAAUCCACUAACAUUUCCUACAGCCAUCUCCAUAUCCCAUGUUCUGAAACAGAAUAUGAAGGCUUGACACUUGGCUUGUGGUGAUGAUUUAGCUUGGUACAACUCUUAAUUUUAAAAUUGUCUGCAAAUCAUCCUGAAGCAGAGCACCCAGAACGGGUUCUGCUGGUUAUGUUUCCAAGGUGUUCGCGUGGAUAUUAUAGUACGAUCAUGAAUUCCCCUUUGCCAGUAGGUGCUGAAGCGUAUGUACGUGUAAUUUAAUAUAUAAUUUUCUAAUUUGUUACGUAUUUCUGUGAGCAGAAAAGUGUGUGACUGAAAAUCCAGACUCAGAAAUUUAAGUUAGUCUUACAUGAACAGCAAAGUGUAAGAAUAAUUCUUAAACUGAGUGGGUUUUAUCUUAACAACAAGUUAGUGGCAUGGGUAGAACUUGCUAAAUAAGGAUGUGCAUCUGUCGCUUUGCUUUCAGUCCUAUACAGUCUGCUGUUUCAGUGAGAUGCAAGGAUAUUAUUUAAUGGAAAUGAGAGAUGCACUUUACUCAUAAUUAUCAUAAAAAGGGUUAAUGCGGACUGUAGAGGUGACUAGAUACAUUAUUUUAUUACAAUAAUAGACUCGUAGAGGAAAAACUCUUUUAUGACACGUUCCAUUAUUGCCGUUACAGACCUGUAAUUUGAAGAUUACUGCUCAAAAACCCAGACAAAAUGAUUUUACAAUCAUGGGCCCAUUAACGGUUUAAGAGUUGUCUGGUUAGAUUAGGAAGAAUUUAGUUGUGGAAAACGUGAGAUUUAUGAUGCUACUCCAAAGGCACACGGACACGUGCGCUUGUAAAGCCGCCUGCGUCUGCAGAACAGCCCCGUGCCCUCCGCGCUGCGUGCAGGGCCUUCCCACAGCCGGGGAGACUUUGUUUGUAUCGAUCUGCUUAUUAUUUCUACAUCUUUAGCAUAGUCGAAGUAUUUAUUUUAACAUCCAGGUCUCUCAUCCCAAGUAGACAAGAUGUGAUACUAUUGAUCCUCAGGCCAAUCAUCCAUUAGGAAUCCAUUAAGAUCCAGAGCAAUAGACAAACGUGAACUACAAUUAUUAUCAUUCCAUCAAAGGACUGCUAGGCUAAGGCACAAGUCUGUAGCUCAGCGAGGAUAAGGAUCACCUGAACCCCCACGAUAUUACUGAAGCCACACUUUACAUUGUUGAAAUAAAAAGGCCUAAAGCAGUAUCUCGGAGUGCUGAGAGAUGUCCUUUGGUGAACUGUGGUGCUUCCAGGCAUUAAAGCCCUCAGCCCUCUCUUUCACCACUCUGCCAGAGUUUUUCACUAUCAAAUAAGAAUCAGCAAAAGGGAACCUGCAUCUGUGCUUUGACUUUAAUGUGCUUUCUACGUCCAACGCGAUCUGCUUCCCGGAGAUGUUCCAGAAAGCAUCUGUCAUCACAUUGCCCUAAACCACGUUCAGCCUGGGCUGGCAUCUUCUCACCCAUUUCUGCCUUCUCUUUCUUGUCUGGCGUUUGCUUUCCCGUGUUAUAGCUUGUUCUUUUUCUCUAUUUCUCUGGCCAAAUCUGAUUCUGAAUCUUUCUGCUGAGUGGAUUAAUUUUAUACAGGAUCUGGUGCCGUGAGAGUAGCUCUGUGGAAUGGUUUUACUGUAGAUACGUUUGAAAGUAUUUGUUUAACUGAGCUGUGUGCUUAAACUUACACUCAUGAGCUUACGGGCAAAUGAAGAUCAUAGUUCUAAUCGAUAUUUUUAAACUGCGUGGCACCCCAGGCAAAUUACGUAUGCUUUUCUCACAUAUUUUAACCAUAUCAAUAAACAUUCAGGUUUGUGCAGCUCUUUUCCUUGAUUGGGCACACAUAAUUAAUAAACACUUGAAAUAUCUGCCCGAAUAAAGCGAGUCCAGAGGAGGCCAUGAGGAUGACCGGGGGGCUGGAGCACCUCCCGCGUGAGGGACAGGCUGGGAGAGUUGGGGUUGUCCAACCUGGGGAAGGGAAGGCUGCAGGGGGACCUCAGAGCAGCUUCCAGCACGGAGAGGGGCUGCAGGAAACCUGGGGAGGGGCUCUUGGUCAGGGAGGGCAGGAUGAGGGGAGAUGGUUUUCAGCUGAAAGAGAUGAGAUCUUAGGCAGAAAUGUUUUGCUGUGAGAGUGGGGAGGCCCUGGCCCAGGGUGCCCAGAGCAGUGGUGCUGCCCCAUCCCUGGAGGGGUUCCAGGCCAGGUUGGAUGGGGUUUGGAGCCCCUGA